rnacentral:rRNA from 1 species
UACGAAGGGGGCUAGCGUUGUUCGGAAUUACUGGGCGUAAAGCGCACGCAGGCGGAUCGAUAAGUCAGGGGUGAAAUCCCGGGGCUCAACCUCGGAAUUGCCUUUGAUACUGUCGAUCUCGAGUCCGGGAGAGGUGAGUGGAAUUCCUAGUGUAGAGGUGAAAUUCGUAGAUAUUAGGAAGAACACCAGUGGCGAAGGCGGCUCACUGGGUCUUUUCUGACGCUGAGGGACGAAAGCUAGGGGAGCGAACGGG